GUAGAUAUAGUUUUAAUAAAAACAUUAGACUGUGGUUCUAAAGACAGGGGUUAAAACCCCCUUAUCCACC
rnacentral:tRNA from 1 species